rfam:Camelus ferus unplaced genomic scaffold scaffold2750, whole genome shotgun sequence.
GGAGGGUACAGCUCAAGGGGUAGAGCACAUGCAUGGCAUGCACGAGGUCCUGGGCUCAAUCCCCAGUCCCUCCA